rnacentral:lncRNA from 10 species
GUCCUUGCCCUCUUUCUGGCUUGAAUGGAAAAUGUGGCCUCCUGGGACUGUCAGUGGUGUGGUCCCCACAUCCUUAGUUGUACACAUAACAUGCUUACCGUGUGCUUGCUUUGAGUCCCUUCUGAGCUCCCAUGCAAUGUAGACUCAUCGGAAUCCCGUGCUCAUGGGAUUUUAUGAACACUAUAUGCAAAUAGGACAGCAAGAAAUGGCAGUAAACGCUUUUAUUGUUGCUAUCUCCUCUGCUCCUGCACAUGCUCCAUGGUAUCGUUGGACUUCACUUACAAAACACAGAUACAAAGACAAAAUUACUAAGAAUUACCAAGAAUUUUAAUUUCAAGAUGGCAACAGAGUAUUAAACCAAAGAUGAAGUCGUUCUGAGUGUGGGGUUUGCGAGAUGGCACAGGUGGCACUCCCAGGAGCUCGUCUUGGCCAGGUCGCACCCUUGAGUCCAUUGGAACCUGAAUCUCACCCUGCUCUGCUAUGCUAUACUGACUCCAGCUGAAUUCAAGGAGUUACAGUUUGAAACUCUCCAGACUCCAGUGGCCAUCCCACUUGUGUUCCAUCUUGCUGUCUCUCCUAGAUCACUUGCUCUGAGGGAGGACAUCUGCUGUAUCAUGAGGACGCAAAACCAUCCCAUGGAGGGUGCUACAUGCAGAGCAGCUGAGGCCUCCUGCUAGUUGUCAGUGAGGAACCGAGGCUUCUUGCCAAUGGCCAUGUGAGUGAGCCAUCUUGCAAACAGAUCCCCUAACCCCAGUUAAGCCCUUCAGGCAAACUGCAACGUUGUCAAGUCUUAACUGCAACCUCAUGAGAGACCCUAGGCCAUAGCCACCAGCUAAGCUGCUCUUGAAUUCCUGACUCAGAAACUUUGAGAUCAUGAAUCUUUGUUGUAUUAGGCCUCCAACCUUAGGGGUAAUUGGUUAUGCAGCAAUAGAUAACUAAUAUACCAUUAUUUUCAAGCGGGACUAUAAGCUUGGUACAACCCAAACACCAAAGUAUAUCCAAGAGUUUUCUUGGCCAUGUUAGGAAGUCUCAGAAGACCUCAAAAUGAAAAGCAGACAAGCCUCUACUCAUAGAGUGCACAUUAGGCCGAUAUAAUAUUUAGCUUUUCUAGAUGCUUUAUUUUUUAGGCACUGUACAGUAAAACCAGGGCUUCUUUCCUUGCCUUGAUAAAUGGUGAAUGACAUUGGAUGCCACUCUCACCCCCAUAUGCUCACCAAAGGGAGAAGAAUUGCUCACCUGAUUGGUGGGAGUCAUAGCAAAUGAAAUAGGUCCCUGUGCCACAAUUCUGCCAGACUCAGACCUCACUUGUCAUUUGGAGGAGCAAUUUUGAAUCACAUUCUCCACUGUUCCUUGCAGGCCCCCAGCAGUAGUAACCCGCUGCUAUGCGCAGUGAAAAUCAGCUCAAUUAGACAGCCUUGCGCAUGCUUUCCCCCAUCUCUACUUCACUCCCCUUUCUUUUCCCACUAACUUCCUGUGAUCACCUCUUGAGGACCUUGGUGAGAGCACUGGACCAAACCAAGACAGUUGUUCGGUCUGGUGUUUUGGGGUAGGGCAUGCUUUACAAGUUGGUGAGAUUACCAUCCCCUAAAAAGGGAGGAAGCAGAGAUAUCUCUCCCAACUCUUGCUUCUCUUAUUUGGCAGUCUGACCUAUCAGGCAGGCUAAAUGGCCUAGACUAGUUCAGGCCCUAAGGCAAAAAUGUGUUUUUUUCUUGUUGUCCAUGACAUUAUUUUUUUCUUGUCACUUAGGAGAAUGCUUUAGGCUGGCUUUUUCUUACAGUACCAAUGCUAAGUCUCCACCCUGAGUUUGGAAGUUAAUUAGAAGGAAGAGAAGCAGAGGCAUAUGAAGGAACUAGCAACAUAGAGGUGCCUCAAAUGGGGCUGGGGUGAACUGUAACUACACAAAGGCUGGCAUUAAAAAGUACAGCCCCACAUGAAAGACUGGCCCCAUUGUCCUUAGCAGGUGGUCUGGGCUGCUAGUUUGGCUGUUCAGGGAUAGUUUGUGCCCCUAGGCAAGAGGCAAAUGGUAUUGUGGUUAAGGAUGAAAUUGGAUUAUAAGUAAAGGAGAUUUAUUUCGGAAACAGCUGGAAUUGACAGGGCAGGUUAUUGGGGCUGGCUUUAGCAGCUUUGGGGCCCAGCAAUUUUGAAGUAGCUAUUUUAUCUGUUGAUUUUAGCAGUAUUGACAGUGACCAUUGGGUUUAUCAAGAAUGGAGUCAUCUAGGGAAGAGGCACUUGAGAAAGCAGGUAUCUGAUAUUGAUGAGGAUGGAGGUCAAAGGGGUGUUUUUUGUCUACCUGAGAGUACUGAGGAAGCUUCCCUUCUCCGGAGUCUUCUGGUUGUGUGCAGAGAGGGUGUCACUGUUAACUGAGCCAGCAAAGGCUCAUCCCCAGACAGGCUGUUUCUCAAGUAUGGCUAUAGGCCUUGAGGCUUGAAGCUCCUUCAGGUCUCUAUAGCGUGACAUUUUUGAUGGUGAGGCACUGGCCCGAGUUUUCUCCUCCAUCCUGCCCUGAAGCAGGGGUGAAGAACUGUCAGGUUUUUUAGGGUGUAGGGAGGAACCUUUCAUGUCGUGCCCAUGUAAGUCCAGAGAGGUAGAACUUUCUCCCAACACAUUUAAAAGGGAAAUUCUUACCCUCCAUCUUUUUUGGUAUGUGUGGGAGCCUGCAACUCAGACGACUGUAUUUCCUGGUUGCUUAGUACUAAGGCACUGGAGAUCACUGACUGCUCAGCCAUGGCACAACCUCUUGUCUCUUUUGCUCCCUAGCCCCACCCCACCCUGUGAUCAGGUACAGGGGUGAUGUGCUUGAGCUUCAUGUAGUAUCUCUCAGGUCACUAAGGGGGGGAACUUGACAUUUCCCAUGUCUUUGCCUCUAGCUGACCCUUCUGUGCAGAUUAGCUACAUUUAGCAAGAAAGGAGUAGGAAGCCCCUACUUUGGAUAUGGGCCUUGGUUCUCCAGUCUAACCAUUUCUAGAAAUGGAUGCUGAGAAGUGAAAUUUGAGGCUAUUAUAUAAAUACAAACAUAUGUAACAUACUGCAUGUAUAUUCAUAUACAUAUAUAAUUUUUUCUGAUCAAUUUGAAAGUUGCUGACAGGAUGCUACUUUAUUCCUAAACACUAUAAUGCUACAUACAUAUUUAUUAAAAAGAAGCACAUUCUUUUUCAUAACCACAAGAUAAUUAUCAAAAUCAGGAAAGUAAUAUUGAUGCAUUAUAGCUAUAUUCAAAUCCUCAGGGCUUAUUUGUAUUUUUUCCACAUGUAUUAAUAAUAAUUUAAUGGCAACAGAAAAUUCUGCUUUGCUUUCAGUUGCUGUCCCUGUUUAGGCUGCUUUAAUUUAGUACAGUCCCUCAGUCUUUUUUGUCUAUCAUGACAUUGACAACUGUGAAGAAUGCAUGCCCUGGUUAUUUGAUAGAUGGUCACCCAAGUUGGGUUUGUUUGAUGUUUCCUCUUGAUUAGAUUUAGGUUCUGAGAUUUUGGCAAGAAUAUCACAGACAUGAUAUGUUCUUCUCAGUGCAUGAUAUCAGGGGACAUAUGGUAUCUUAUUUGUCUCAUUUCUGGUGAUGGGAAUUUUGAUCACUUGAUUAAGGUGGUGUCUACCCAGUUUCUUCAAUAAUAAAAUUACUAGUUAGUUAGCUAAUAAUUAAUGAGAAUCUUGUGGAAGGGUACCUUAAGAUUACGUAAGUAUCUUGUUACUCCUUAAACUUCCAGCUGCUAGUUUUAGCAUCUGUUGAAGAUUUUUGCCUAAAUCAAUUGUUAUUAUAAUGGUUACCAAAGAGUGACAUUUUAAUUGACCCCUGGAAUUAUUUCUAUGAUUAUUGGUUGGCUUUCUACUGUAAGAAAGAACAUUUCCUUAUCACCUGUUUUCUUAUUUAUUCAUUCAUUUAUCCAUUUAUGUCAUGAAUUUUAUUUUUUUCUGUGAAUUGUAUUUCUUUUUCUGUGAAUUGUAUUUCUUUACUAUGCUUAUUUAUUUUGAUUUGCAAAUUGUCCAGGUUUGUUCAGUCUAAGCCCUUUCAAGCUGGUUCCUGUGUCUGUUUGACAUAUCUACAUCAUUCUUUUAACACGUUCUCACUUUUCUGGCACAACACCGUAUUCUCAAUUCAUCUUGCAUUUUUCCAGAAUCAGCCAUUUCUCAAAAGGGCUUGAUUCCUUUUAGUGGCAAAUGGCAUUUUGAUUGAUUGCUACAGGGU